rnacentral:rRNA from 1 species
UACGUAGGAUGCAAGCGUUGUCCGGAAUUAUUGGGCGUAAAGAGCGCGCAGGCGGUAUGACACGUCAGAUGUAAAAUAUCCCGGCUUAACCGGGAGGGGCCAUUUGAAACUGGGUAACUAGAGUGAAGCAGAGGAUAGCGGAAUUCCCGGUGUAGUGGUGAAAUGCGUAGAUAUCGGGAGGAACACCAGUGGCGAAGGCGGCUAUCUGGGCUUUAACUGACGCUGAGGCGCGAAGGCUAGGGGAGCAAACAGG